UACAGAGGUCCCAAGCGUUGUUCGGAUUCACUGGGCGUAAAGGGUGCGUAGGUGGCCGGGUAAGUCUGACGUGAAAUCUCCGAGCCUAACUCGGAAACUGCAUCGGAUACUAUCCGGCUCGAGGGUUGGAGGGGGGACUGGAAUACUUGGUAUAGCAGUGAAAUGCGUAGAUAUCAAGUGGAACACCAGUGGCGAAGGCGACUCGCUGGACUGAUACUGACGCUGAGGUGCGAAAGCGUGGGGAGCAAACAGG
rnacentral:rRNA from 1 species